UGGGGAAUAUUGGACAAUGGGCGCAAGCCUGAUCCAGCCAUGCCGCGUGUGUGAAGAAGGCCUUAGGGUUGUAAAGCACUUUCAGUGGGGAGGAAGGGUGUUGUGUUAAUAGCACAGCAUUUUGACGUUACCCACAGAAGAAGCACCGGCUAACUCCGUGCCAGCAGCCGCGGUAAUACGGAGGGUGCAAGCGUUAAUCGGAAUUACUGGGCGUAAAGCGCACGCAGGCGGCUUUUUAAGUCGGAUGUGAAAGCCCCGGGCUCAACCUGGGAAUUGCAUCUGAUACUGGGAAGCUAGAGUAUGUGAGAGGGGGGUAGAAUUCCAAGUGUAGCGGUGAAAUGCGUAGAGAUUUGGAGGAAUACCAGUGGCGAAGGCGGCCCCCUGGCACAAUACUGACGCUCAGGUGCGAAAAGCGUGGGGAGCAAAACAGGAUUAGAUACCCUGGUAGUCCACGCCGUAAAACGAUGUCUACUAGAUGUUCGUGGUCUUGUACCGUGAGUAUCGCAGCUAACGCAUUAAGUAGACCGCCUGGGGAGUACGGUCGC
rnacentral:rRNA from 1 species